rnacentral:tRNA from 1 species
GGGUCUAUAAUUCAGCGGUAAGAAUACCAAGCUCAUAACUUGAGAAACGCCAGUUCGAAUCUGGCUGGACCCA